rnacentral:rRNA from 1 species
AUUGAACGCUGGCGGCAGGCUUAACACAUGCAAGUCGAGCGGGGUGAUGGUGCUUGCACCAUCACUUAGCGGCGGACGGGUGAGUAAUGCUUAGGAAUCUGCCUAUUAGUGGGGGACAACAUCUCGAAAGGGAUGCUAAUACCGCAUACGUCCUACGGGAGAAAGCAGGGGAUCCCUUGUGACCUUGCGCUAAUAGAUGAGCCUAAGUCGGAUUAGCUAGUUGGUGGGGUAAAGGCCUACCAAGGCGACGAUCUGUAGCGGGUCUGAGAGGAUGAUCCGCCACACUGGGACUGAGACACGGCCCAGACUCCUACGGGAGGCAGCAGUGGGGAAUAUUGGACAAUGGGGGGAACCCUGAUCCAGCCAUGCCGCGUGUGUGAAGAAGGCCUUAUGGUUGUAAAGCACUUUAAGCGAGGAGGAGGCUCUUUUGGUUAAUACCCAAGAUGAGUGGACGUUACUCGCAGAAUAAGCACCGGCUAACUCUGUGCCAGCAGCCGCGGUAA